UGUCAGGGGUUUAAAUUCAACCGGCGGGGGGCGGGUGCGUGGUGGGGGAGACCAUCCCUGCCGCCUGCAGCGUUGACUCCCGGCACCAUUUGGGUGCAGGGACCCAGCUGACACUUCUUACUUCGGGUCCUGCCUCUCCAGGAGCAGUCUGCAACUUGCCAGCGUCCAGGCAGGACGGCAGCGGCUGAGCAGAGGAGAGAGGAGGAGUGAGUCUCCCGUUCUCACCCGGGGAGCGGUUGCCUCGUGAGUCCGAAGAGAAUCAGCUCUUUCGUUUUGCGCAGGUGGAGAUCUCGGGGGCCCAGUUUGGAGUCCUGCAAACCGUGGAGGAGAUGCCGCCGUCCCGUCGGUCUGGGACGAGCCCAGCUCCCCGGAUCCCGGGCUGGAGAGACGCGUCGCGGCCCCGGGGCCUGGUGGCACGGGCAGGAAGGAGGACCCGGCAGCGGGCUCUGCCUGGGCUUGCCUGGGCUUGUUCCGAGCCGGGCUGCUUCUUGGUGACCGCGCAGAUCGGGGGCAUUUGGAGAUUUUGCGGGAGUCCUGCAGCCAAGCUCCGGGGCAGGAGAGGCCUGGAAACCUGCACUACCUGCUCGCCCCGUCCCAGCGUGCACCCAGGUAAACGCUUGUGUUUCUCAGUCCGUGCAAAAGUUUGCAAAGAAGGAGGCGGGAACUAGACCAACAACGUUAAUAAUCAUAGUCAUAAUAAUGAAAACCCUGUUCAAUUGUGUAGCCUCCAUAAGGGGAAGACUUUCCAAGAAGCAACAAAAUGUUCUUUGAUUUCAUAAUCUCUAGGGAGAAAGGAUUCCUUUUUUGGGGUUUUGCUCGGCUACUUCUUUCUUCCCUCCUCGAUCUCCAGCGUGGUGCGAGGAAGGCCGACUGGUCCACGGGUGGAAAAUGGGGACCCUGGCCCUUCUGCGCCGCUGGCCACGGUGAGAUUGCAGCAAAUGCUCAACCUCCCCAGUUCCUCUCCUCACCUGGAAAGUGGAAGGAUUGAUACUAGCCACCCACGGCCGUAAAAAACUCGCAAGAAAGGGAAAGGAAAAGUGCUUCUGUCACUAAAGUAGCGUUGUCUAAGAGGUCAAGGCUUUGGAAGACUUGCUCUAGAAGAGGAGAACGGGAGAGGGGCCUUCAGCGAACCUGGCCCCGAGGUGAACGCGCGCGCCCCCUGCUGGCUGGAGCCCUGUCCAGCCUGGGAGCCGCCAGUGGGGAAGGAGACUUGCAGGGAGGUGGUCCCUGGAGUUCCCUGCUCCUAGCCUGGAGCAGCAGGUGCCACUGCUCCUGAGGUCCCCUCUCUCAGGUUACGUGGAUGGGGCCUGUAGUACCGACAGGGCACAUGCUUCAGCGCCUGUUACUGUGUCAGGUGGGAGAUAGGAGCUAGGCUCUGCAGAAGGUUCCAGAGCCUGGGCCUUCCUGUUGCAUCCAUACUAGGCUCCUGGAGCCCAGGGGUGGCUGGGCUCUCUGCAUACGUGCAUGUGAAACUCUAGCAGAUGCCAGCUCACGUUGAGGGGGCAAAACGGCCCACUGCAGUUAUGUUAGCCAGUUCUGCCUCUGCCCAGUUCUGAGAUAUCUUUGGGACAAAUGGCCACUCCCCUGAGCCCGUGUAUCUUCCUGCAUAAGCCACAAAUGCUGUGCAGUCACAGCUGAGGAAGAGGGGAGGUGCCUGUACUUGCCAACAUUCCCCUUGAAGGACUAUCCAGGAGCAGAGGGAGCAGCUGGAGGCAGCAUCAGUUGGUAUCCUGAGCCCAGUGGCAUCUAUUGCCACAUGGGUUAGUGGCCUGUCUCCUGAGCUUCCCCAAGCUGGCCAAGACUGUCCAGGACUGUCCUGCUCUCCCCUCCCAAUCUAGCUUUCUCUUGGGCCUCCAGGAUCCCUUGGCUAGCUGGCAUGGUGGCAUGAGGACUGCACUUUUACACCCCACCCCUGCCCUUGGCACGCAUCGCAAAUCAAUAAUGCUAAACCUAGACAGGCCCCCAGGUCUUUCUCAUCAUAGCAUCCAUGCAGUGCUUCCCAUUGAUUAUGUCACCCAAUUGCCACCCCAGCCCUACACCUGCCCUUGUAACUGGUCCCUGGGCUGGGGGAUGUAGGAGGACGCAAGGAUGAACAAGAUGCUGCCCUUGGUUAUAGGACACACUACCUCCGGCUAGAGGUGAUCAGAUCUAUGCAUAAGAAGAUAACUAGGCAGGACUCAUUCAUUCAUGCGACAAAUAUUUACAGAGUCCUUGCUAUAUGCAAUGAGUCAUGGAGGAGAAACCUACAGAAGGAUGAGGGGAUGGCUCUUCAGGCAGAAGGGUUAGUAAGUGCAAAGGCCGUGUGUUCAGUGCGUUGGAGAAAUUUCAAGAAAGCCGGUGAGACUGAAGAUCAGCUCAUGUGAUACUCGGUAACGAAUAUCACAUGAAAACAAGGAAGUUUUCUUGUCUACCCCUGAAAUUUGCCUUGGUUGGCAGAUCCUUCCUUCCCAGACAGCACAAAUCAGUACUGCAGCUACAGCUGUCUGUCUGACAUAUUUGUAAGAAUGAACUGUUUAGUGCAGGCUCUGGGAGGCAGUGCCAUGCAGGUCACUGAUAUACCUGGUGCCAAUCGUUUUUCUCCAUUCGUAAGGCACCUCAGGACCCCACUGGGGCCCCAGUGUUCCAGUAAGGAUAUGGGUUUUGAGUUAAGGACCCGCCUUCCGGCUCCAUCUCUGUCACUAGCUGUGCUAAUUUGGAAAUAGGACUUCCUUUCCUGGCUUUGGUUCCUCAUCUCUAAAAAUUGCCCUUAUGUUAGGACCUACUUGGUAGAGGCAUGGGAUAAAAUGAUUAGAUAAGGUGCAUAAACCAGGGAGCAGGGUGCUGUGGCAACCAUUAGGUACCAUCAGUGAUAAAGCACUUUGCUUUCAUGGAUAUUUUAUAUGUUCACUAAAUCAGAACUUUCCUCUAUGCUCAUGUAGUCUAGUGAGGUCUGGGGAGUUUCUUGUUUGAUUUUUGCAUUGCAAAUAUUGCUCUCUUCCCCUCCCUAAAAAACCCACUGCUUUUUUUUUUUUUUUUUUUUUUUUUGAGACAAGG